UUUGCCUUAUCUGUUAGUGAUAAAAAUUUGAAAUCAAAAAAUGUUACUUUAAUGCCAUAUCGUCCAGCACGACUAUUACACAAAAGGAGUAAUUUUAUGUCAAUAUUUAAAGAAAAAAACCCCAAUACAAACACACUGUUAAUAUUUUGACUUUCUCUCGUAGAAUGGCCUGACCCCGCUCCAUGUUGCAGCACAUUAUGAUAACCAGAAGGUGGCGCUUCUGCUCCUGGACAAAGGAGCAUCCCCUCACUCGAUUGCCAAGAACGGUUACACCCCUCUCCACAUUGUGGCCAAAAAGAACCAAAUAGACAUUGCGACAGUGCUCCUGAACUACGGCGCCGAAAGCAACGUCCUGACCAAACAGGGCGUCACGCCACUCCACUUGGCUUCGGAGGAGGGCCACGCCGACAUGGCUGCGCUGCUCCUGAGUAAGGGAGCUCAUGUCAACACCCCUACUAAGUGUGGCCUUACCGCCCUUCAUUUGGCAGCACAGGAUGAUAAGGUUGCUGUUGCGGAGAUCCUUGCCAGAAAUGGCGCCAACCUCAACCAGCAGACCAAAGUAGGAAACUAAAAAAAAAAAAAAAAAAAAAAAAAAA